rnacentral:lncRNA from 1 species
GGCCCAGGGAGGGGAGCAAGGAGAAGGCAGGUGCGCGCAGCAAGCGGGCCCUGGAGGAAGAGGAGGGUGGCACGGAGGUCCUGUCCAAGAACAAGCAAAAGAAGCAGCUGAGGAACCCCCACAAGACCUUCGACCCCUCUCUGAAGCCAAAAUAUGCAAAGUGUGACCAGUGUGGAAACCCAAAGGGCAACAGAUGUGUGUUCAGCCUGUGCCGCGGCUGCUGCAAGAAGCGAGCCUCCAAAGAGACUGCAGACUGCCCAGGACUGCUGCUGGAGCCUGGACACGUCCUACUUAAGAAAAUGCCUUUUACUCAGGGAAUCUCCUGCUACUUAAUGUGGAAAGACACGCCCAUGUCCCCCUUCGGCCCACUCUGGGGGCCUGGAAAUGCUGCAGUGGGGAGCAGGCCCCAGGCUGGACCUGCCCUGUCCUCAGCACGCGUGUGCAAAAGUGAACAAUAAAUCAUUUCAAAGAUG